rnacentral:rRNA from 1 species
UGAGGAAUAUUGGGCAAUGCCCGAAAGGGUGACCCAGCAACGCCGCGUGGAGGAUGAAGGUCGUAAGAUUGUAAACUCCUGUUAGAGGGGAAGAAUAACUAAGUUUGGAGCUUAGUAUGACUGUACCCUCAGAGAAAGCCCCGGCUAACUACGUGCCAGCAGCCGCGGUAAUACGUAGGGGGCAAGCGUUGUCCGGAUUUACUGGGUGUAAAGGGCGCGCAGGCGGAAUGGAAAGUCAGUGGUGAAAUCCUACAGCUUAACUGUAGAACUGCCUUUGAUACUUUUAUUCUUGAGUUCGGGAGAGAGAGACGGAAUUCCAGGUGUAGUGGUGAAAUACGUAGAUAUCUGGAAGAACACCAGUUGCGAAGGCGGUCUCUUGGUCCGACACUGACGCUGAGGCGCGAAAGCGUGGGGAGCAAACA